rnacentral:lncRNA from 1 species
AUAGGCCACACACCCACACAGAUAUCAUUAUCUUACGUCACCAACAUCGGCGACCGAACUCCUUGCCCGUUGGGGUCUCCCGACCAUCACCACUAUCGGCGAUCAACCUAUUAUUUCUUGGUAGCGACAUCGAUAUCGGCAUCCCUCAAAGCUACCACUCAAGGACCACACCAUCCUGUACUCGCUUUACCAUGUUAUCUUGAGACUCCCCGAUUCCUUUACCCGGUAUAUCGACCUUACACACAUCUCUCUAUAUGACACACGCU